GGCACCUGGAAGGGCUCCCAGAGAAGGCACAUGGGCUGCUGGGCGGGGGGAAGGUGUCCCCGCUGCAGUGCCAGGAUGCAAGUUUGAUCCCUGGCCUGGCACAGUGGGUUAAAGGAUCCGGCUUUGCCGCAACUGUGGCAUGGGUCACAUCUGUGGCUCGGAUCUGACCCCUGGCCCGGGGAACUCCAUAUGCUGUGGGACGGCCAAAAAAGGAAAAACAAAAUCAAGUGACAUGAAAUAAAAUAAAAGGCUGCGGGAACUUGGACACAUAAAAAGCAUGAAGAGGGCAGGCCAGGCCGGGGCAUGGAGGCAGGGGACGAGUCUACCCUGAGCGAGAAAUGAAGAGCAAGUGUCGCCACCAGAGUGUGGGGCAAGCCCAGGGCUCUCGUCCAGGCCCCGGGACCUGCUGGGGGAGCCCAUUUCCAAACCCGAGGACAAAACCCUUGGCCUCAGUCCGGCUUCAUUUCCUGUCUGGGGCCUCUUCCCCACCUUCGGAUGGCAGCCACGUGGAACCAGGGCCUCCCCUGUGGCCAAAACAGUGUGGGAGAGGCAGCACUUCGUGGGCAUCUGAGAAGUGGCCUGGGGGUAAGAGAUCAAAGCUGGGGUAUCUCCCGGGCUCAGCAUGUGAUGUGGGGGUCCCAGCAGGUGGCACCAGGGGUUCUGCUGUGGUGCAUGGUGUUGUGUGUGAGAAACACAGGACAGACUUCACCUCCUUCAGGUGGGCUCUCAAAUGACAUCUUGGCGAGGCCUCCCCACCACUUUAGAGAAAACUGAAAGCUCCCAGCUGCACAUGCCCCUCCCGCGCCCUUCCUGCUCUACUCGCUGCCUUAGCAGGUGCCGUCCUUUGCCUUUUUUCCUUCCGUCUUUCUUUCUCUUUGUCUUUCUUUCCUUCCUUCCUCCCUCCCUCCCUCCCUCUCUCCUUCCUUUUUCUUUCUUUCUCUUAGACACCACUAGUUUAUUGGUCAGGGGAGAAUGUAACAUCCUUUAAUGUGUUAUUUUAUUUAUUUGCUUAUUGUCUGUCUCCUCCUACCAGAACAAACUCCAUCAGGGCAGGGGUCUUCAUGUUUUGUUUACCACUGCAUCCCUAGUGGCUAGGACGGUGCCCGACACAUAGUAGGUACUCAAGAAGUAUUUGUUGAAUGGAUGAGUGGAUGAAUGGAUGGAUGGAUGGGUGGGCGGAUGGAUGGGUGGAUGGGCGGAUGGAUGGAUGGAUGGAUGGGCAGGUGGAUGAGUAG
rnacentral:lncRNA from 1 species